rnacentral:rRNA from 1 species
AUUGAACGCUGGCGGAAUGCUUUACACAUGCAAGUCGAGCGGCAGCGCGGCCUUCGGGCUGGCGGCGAGCGGCGAACGGGUGAGUAAUGCAUCGGAACAUGCCCAGUCGUGGGGGAUAACACUUCGAAAGAAGUGCUAAUACCGCAUACGUCCUGAGGGGGAAAGCGGGGGAUCGCAAGACCUCGCGCGAUUGGAGUGGCCGAUGUCAGAUUAGCUAGUUGGUGGGGUAAAGGCCUACCAAGGCGACGAUCUGUAGCUGGUCUGAGAGGAUGAUCAGCCACACUGGGACUGAGACACGGCCCAGACUCCUACGGGAGGCAGCAGUGGGGAAUUUUGGACAAUGGGCGCAACCCUGAUCCAGCCAUUCCGCGUGAGUGAAGAAGGCCUUCGGGUUGUAAAGCUCUUUCGGCAGGAACGAAACGGUGGGCUCUAACAUAGUCCGCUAAUGACGGUACCUGAAGAAGAAGCACCGGCUAACUACGUG